GUGGGGAAUAUUGCACAAUGGGCGAAAGCCUGAUGCAGCAACGCCGCGUGAAGGAUGAAGGCCUUUGGGUCGUAAACUUCUGUCCUUGGGGAAGAAAAAAAUGACGGUACCCCUGGAGGAAGUCCCGGCUAACUACGUGCCAGCAGCCGCGGUAAUACGUAGGGGGCGAGCGUUAUCCGGAAUUAUUGGGCGUAAAGAGUACGUAGGUGGUUUUUUAAGCGCAGGGUUUAAGGCGAUGGCUCAACUGUCGUUCGCCCUGUGAACUGGAAGACUUGAGUACAGGAGAGGAAAGCGGAAUUCCUAGUGUAGCGGUGAAAUGCAUGGAUAUUAGGAGGAACACCAGUGGCGAAGGCGGCUUUCUGGACUGUAACUGACACUGAGGUACGAAAGCGUGGGGAGCAAACAGGAUUAGAAACCCGAGUAGUCC
rnacentral:rRNA from 1 species